CGUGUAAAAUUAGAGCGCUUAUUAAAAAGCACUGCAAUAUAGCGUUGUUACAGCCAAAAAAACCGUGCCACUUAGUUUUUUUUAUUUUGUGAAAUAUUUCAAAACUCCCACGACUCCCACUAUACUUCUGCAAAUCCCUAACCUAUCACUACUGAAAAUAUGAAAUUGCCCCAAUUGUGCGCUCAUCAAUCUCCCUAAUCUCUCUGAAUAUCAUCCUCAAAUUUUUACUUGACGAACCAUAAACAUUUAAUUCGUUUUCUUUUUGCUGAAUUUUCCCUUUUAAUUUGCCCAAUUCGUCAAUUUUGUUUGAGAAUUUUAAUCGACCCAUACAAAUUCAAAAUUCUCAUUCUAAGAUUUAAUUUCAAUAUUCUCAAAAAAAUUCUUGUCGAAAAGAAAGAGAUCCAGAAAAGAGGCUACUUUCAGGAUGUUGAAGCUUCUCCCAGAGCUAACAAUGACACUAAUCGUAGAGAUUAGUUAUUGCGUUACCAAGGGUAUGCUUUGGCAACUUCAAAGUUGGAACAUGAAAGCAAUUUUAAAGCAUCAAUAUUUAGUCUUAUAAAAUAUAUCUUAUAUUGGCAUAGAUUUGGUUUUGGCAUUAAGUACAUUCUAGCUACUGAACGUUUUUUUAUUUUUUUUAUUAUAUAUAUAUAUAUAUAUAUAGGACUUUAGAUGGUUAUUU